UACGUAGGCAGCAAGCGUUGUUCGGAGUUACUGGGCGUAAAGGGUGCGUAGGCGGUCCUAUAAGUAUGGUGUGAAAUCUCCCGGCUUAACUGGGAGGGUGCGCUAUAGACUGUGGGACUAGAGUGUGGGAGAGGAAAGUGGAAUUCCUGGUGUAGCGGUGAAAUGCGUAGAUAUCAGGAGGAACACCGGUGGUGUAAACGGCUUUCUGGACCAUAACUGACGCUGAGGCACGAAAGCCGUGGGUAGCAAACAGG
rnacentral:rRNA from 1 species